UACGUAGGUGGCGAGCGUUGUCCGGAAUUACUGGGUGUAAAGGGCGUGCAGGCGGGGAUGUAAGUCAGAUGUGAAAACCCAUGGCUUAACUGUGGGAUUGCAUCUGAAACUAUGUUUCUUGAGUGCUGGAGAGGAAAGCGGAAUUCCCAGUGUAGCGGUGAAAUGCGUAGAUAUUGGGAGGAACACCAGUGGCGAAGGCGGCUUUCUGGACAGUAACUGACGCUGAGGCGCGAAAGCGUGGGGAGCAAACAGG
rnacentral:rRNA from 1 species